UGGUGGAGUGAUUUGUCUGGUUAAUUCCGUUAACGAACGAGACCUCGACCUGCUAAAUAGUUCGCUUCAGACUUCGGUCUGAUGACAUUCACGUGACUUCUUAGAGGGACUAUCGGUGUGUAGCCGAUGGAAGUUCGAGGCAAUAACA
rnacentral:rRNA from 1 species